rnacentral:rRNA from 1 species
CCUACGGGAGGCAGCAGUGGGGAAUUUUGGACAAUGGGCGAAAGCCUGAUCCAGCAAUGCCGCGUGCAGGAAGAAGGCCUUCGGGUUGUAAACUGCUUUUGUACGGAACGAAACGGUCUGCUUUAAUACAGUGGGCUAAUGACGGUACCGUAAGAAUAAGCACCGGCUAACUACGUGCCAGCAGCCGCGGUAAUACGUAGGGUGCGAGCGUUAAUCGGAAUUACUGGGCGUAAAGCGUGCGCAGGCGGUUAUAUAAGACAGUUGUGAAAUCCCCGGGCUCAACCUGGGAAUUGCAUCUGUGACUGUAUAGCUAGAGUACGGUAGAGGGGGAUGGAAUUCCGCGUGUAGCAGUGAAAUGCGUAGAUAUGCGGAGGAACACCGAUGGCGAAGGCAAUCCCCUGGACCUGUACUGACGCUCAUGCACGAAAGCGUGGGGAGACAACAGAGUAGAUACCUACGUAGUACGACGACCGUAACGACUAGUACACUAGUUGUUGGUG